rnacentral:rRNA from 3 species
UACGAAGGGGGCUAGCGUUGUUCGGAUUUACUGGGCGUAAAGCGCGUGUAGGCGGGUCGUUAAGUUGGGGGUGAAAUCCCGAGGCUCAACCUCGGAACUGCCUUCAAAACUGGCGACCUGGACUCAAGCAGAGGCAAGUGGAAUUGCGAGUGUAGAGGUGAAAUUCGUAGAUAUUCGCAGGAACACCAGUGGCGAAGGCGACUUGCUGGGCUUGUAGUGACGCUGAGACGCGAAAGCGUGGGGAGCAAACAGG